UUGCCUCGUGGUUUCCUGUUACGCCUCUGGUAACCAGCAUACUGAUAUAAAGACACUGAUUCAGGAUUUAUGGCUGAGAGCCAUUACAGGGACAAGAAUAACGUGUUUCAACCAGGUUCUGGUUUGAUCAGAUAUAAAAUAAAACAAAUUUCAAUCUUUCUAUCACUCUUUAUGGCAAGAUUCCUUCUGUCCAUUUUUACAGACUUCCUAACGCAAUGCUGGG